GACGAACGCUGGCGGCGUGCUUAACACAUGCAAGUCGAACGGAAAGGCCUGCUUUCCCUUGUGGAUUGCGGGUACGCGAGUGGCGAACGGGUGAGUAACACGUGAGUGAUCUGGCCCCAACUUGGGUAUAAGCCUGGGAAACUGUGUCUAAUUCCCGAUAGGACUGCAGGGUGGUGCCUGUGGUGGAAGACGAUUUUCUAGUGGUUGGGGAUGAGCUCGCGGCCUAUCAGCUUGUUGGUGGGGUAAUGUCCUACCAAGGCGGCGACGGGUCGCCGGCCUGGGAGGGUCGACGGCCACAUUGGGACUCGGAUACGGCCCAGACGCCAGCGGGAGGCAGCAGUGGGGAAUAUAGCACAAUGGGCGGAAGCCUGAUGCAGCGACGCAGCGUGGGGGAUGACGGCCUUCGGGUUGUAAACUACUUGCGACCGAGAGGAAGCCACCUGAUUGGAAGGGUGGUGACGGUAGUGGUAGAAGAAGCACCGGCUAACUACGUG
rnacentral:rRNA from 1 species